ACGCUCGACACCUACGGGAGGCGGCAGUGGGGAAUAUUGCACAAUGGAGGAAACUCUGAUGCAGCGACGCCGCGUGAGGGAAGAAGGUCUUCGGAUUGUAAACCUCUGUUGUCAGGGACGAUGAUGACGGUACCUGACGAGGAAGCCACGGCUAACUACGUGCCAGCAGCCGCGGUAAGUACUGAGCGGGCGUGGCGAAGGACG
rnacentral:rRNA from 1 species